rnacentral:rRNA from 1 species
GACGAACGCUGGCGGCGUGCUUAACACAUGCAAGUCGAACGGUGAAGCGAGUGCUUGCACUCGUGGAUCAGUGGCGAACGGGUGAGUAACACGUGAGUAACCUGCCCAUCACUCUGGGAUAAGCACUGGAAACGGUGUCUAAUACUGGAUACGACCAACCCUUGCAUGGGGUGUUGGUGGAAAGAUUUAUCGGUGAUGGAUGGACUCGCGGCCUAUCAGCUUGUUGGCGGGGUAAUGGCCCACCAAGGCGACGACGGGUAGCCGGCCUGAGAGGGUGACCGGCCACACUGGGACUGAGACACGGCCCAGACUCCUACGGGAGGCAGCAGUGGGGAAUAUUGCACAAUGGGCGAAAGCCUGAUGCAGCGACGCCGCGUGAGGGAUGACGGCCUUCGGGUUGUAAACCUCUUUCAGCAGGGAAGAAGCGAAAGUGACGGUACCUGCAGAAGAGGCACCGGCUAACUACGUG